CUCAUUGUCUUUCGCUGCCACCAUGUAAGAAGAGUCUUUUGCCUCCCGUCAUGAUUCUGAGGGCUCCCCAACUACAUAGAACUAUAUUUCUUCAAAGAACAAAAAAAAACCAGUAUGAAGCAUAUGAAACUUCAAGCAGAACAAACUUGGUUUGUCUCCUUCCAGAGAAAAGGUACUGAAGUUCCCAUACCUGUAGAGCUGCAAAGAUCAACAUUUCUUCCUCUGUGCAAUCAAUUUCUUCUAAGAGAAUGGCCCACCUGGCUUGCUCAUAGAGUUGGUUUAUUCGGACAGCAUCAUACUAGAGACAAAAACAGAGGUGUGUGUGUAAUGAGGUAUAUUUAUAUCCCACAAUACAAAGAUUCUGAAACAACUGAGGCCAUUCUCUGUUAAUCAGAUGCAGCAAACUUCAGCUCAGGGUGUUUCCCCGCACAAGCUCUCUCUUUGCCUGCUGCCAUCCAUGUAAGACGUGACUUGCUCCUCCUUGCCUUCCUCCAUGAUUGUGAGGCCUCCCCAGCCAUGUGGAACUGUAAGUCCAU
rnacentral:lncRNA from 1 species